CGACCGCGACCCCAGGUCAGGCGGGACUACCCGC
rnacentral:rRNA from 1 species